rnacentral:rRNA from 1 species
UUCCGCAAGGAAGUAAGAUCCCUGAAAGAUGAUCAGGUUGAUAGGUCUGAGGUGGAAGUGUGGCGACACAUGGAGCUGACAGAUACUAAUCGAUCGAGGACUUAACCUA